GAACAGGGAACUGAAGGCUGGAAAGUCCCCUCCCCCACCAGGUCCAUGAAGAUGGGGACAGUACCUGUUUCGUUCAUCUCUACACCUUAGUUCCCGACGGAAGCCAAGCACACAGGGGAGCUCAGAAAUGCAGGAGAUGCGGGUCUGAUCCCUCAGUCAGGAAGACCCCCUGGAGAAGAGAAUGGCCACCUCCUCCAGUAUUCUUGCCUGGAGAAUUCCAUGGACAGAGCUGCCUGGCGGGCUGUAGUCCAUAGAGUCACAAAGAGUCGAACACAACUGAGCAACAAAGCAUGCACACAUGUCUCCUUAAUAAACUUUCAUAAAAACUGCCAAACGUGAUGUUC
ensembl:lncRNA